rnacentral:rRNA from 1 species
GACGUAGGGCGCGAGCGUUGUCCGGAUUUAUUGGGCGUAAAGAGCUCGUAGGCGGCUUGUUGCGUCGACCGUGAAAACUGUGGCUUAACUACAGGCUUGCGGUUGAUACGGGCAGGCUAGAGUUCGGUAGGGGAGACUGGAAUUCCGUGGUGUAGGCGGUGAAAUGCGCAGAUAUCAGGAGGAACACCGGUGGCGAAGGCGGAUCUCUGGGCCGAUACUGACGCUGAGGAGCGAAAGCGUGGGGAGCGAACAGG